rnacentral:sRNA from 1 species
GCUGGGCAUGGUGGUGCAUGCUUGUAAUCCCAGCAACUCGAGAGGCUGAGGCAGGAGGAUUGCAAGUUUGAGACCAACCUCAGCAACUUAGUGAGGCCCUAAGGAAUUAGCAAGACCCUGUCUCAA